GACAACUUCAAGGUUAGGCAACUUGGUGGAGACUUUAAGGAAUUCACUAUCCAUAGGUCUAAUUUAAGGGUGCCACAGGAUUGGAGAAAUGAAAAGGUAAUGCUGAAUUCUUGAGAAAGAUUUGGUCUCGUCCAGGUGCUAAAAGAACCCCAUGUCUUGAUUUUUCUCCUCUCAAGAAAGUUCAGAGG